rnacentral:rRNA from 1 species
AUUGAACGCUGGCGGCAGGCCUAACACAUGCAAGUCGAGCGAGCGGCGGACGGGUGAGUAAUGUCUGGGAAACUGCGUGAUGGAGGGGGAUAACUACUGGAAACGGUAGCUAAUAGCGCAUACUAUCAGAUGUGCCCAGAUGGGAGAAGCUAGUGGGUGGGGGAACGGCUCACCUAGGCUACGCUCCCUAGCUGGUGUGAGAGGAUGACCAGCCAGACUGGAACUGAGACACGGUCCAGACGCCUAAGGGCGGCAGCAGUGGGGAAUAUUGCACAAUGGGCGCAAGCCUGAUGCAGCCAGGCCGGGUGUGGGAAGAAGGCCUACGGGUUGUAAAGCACUUUCAGCGGGGAGGCGUUACCCGCAGAAGAAGCACCGGCUAACACCGUGCCAGCCGCCGCGGUAAUAC